UGGAUCAAUGACUCAGUUUACUCUAUUUCAAGACUAUGAGGGGCAGAGAAGUACUGUCCUGCAAGGGAAUUUUUUUGUUGUUGGAAGUUCCCAAUUCCAGGGAGAUCAGGAGUUCAAUCCCUCUCCCUCUCUUACGUCUGCAAAGAGGGAGGGGAGUGUAGCCAUGCAUGACCUCUGCUCCAUUGGACCCAUCUGUGACAAUCUGAUUCAGUCACUUGGUCUUUGAUCCCAGGUGCCCUUGUGACUCCAAACAUUAGCCUAGUCCUAUAACUAUAAAGUUGCAAAAUCCCCAACAAAAUUGGACUGAGCUCAAGACCAGUGAUCUUUCUCCUGCCCUUAUUUAGAAAGGGAUCAAAUGCCAAGAAGCCUCAUUCAGAGUCAUUUUGAAACCAGUGCAGGCACUCAUGGCAGAGGUAAAAGGCUUCCUAGUAGGGGAAGAGACAAAGCAGUAUGGAGAGCAGAAGGGGUCUAAGCUGUGGGUCAUAAUUUUGGUUAUCAUUCUGGUGGUCCUCCCUGUGCUGGCCACAUUUCAGUGGUUUUUGCACAGAGCCACUUCUGAAGUCUUUCACCAAGCCUUCCCCUGUAAUGAGAGUCAACUACUGGAGGAGAAACUGAAACAAAGCCAGGAAAGCUUCCUGGAGAUGGAGACAAGAUGGUGGAGUUGCAGCAAUGACUCGAGAGACCUGAAUCAGACCCUGGAGGAGUUGACAUCCCAGAGAAACUCGCUGUACACUCAACUGCAGGAGCUGAAGGAAGAGAACCUGGAUUUGACUGAUAAACUUAAGAAGACUGAAACAGCCCUGCAGAGGGAAAGGUGUUUCCUGCCCUCUUGGAGUUGCCUAAGCCCAGGCUCUUGGUGUUAUUUCCUGAGGCUCAAGAAUUGGGACUGA
rnacentral:lncRNA from 1 species